rnacentral:sRNA from 2 species
GCUAAUCUAUCGCUGCUGCCAACCUACCUACCACUGCCAACCUACCUAUCGCUGCCAACCUACCUACCACUGCUAAUCUAUCGCUGCUAAUCUAUCGCUGCCAACCUACCUACCGCUGCCAACCUAUCUACCACUGCCAAUCUACCUACCGCUGCCAACCUACCUACCACUGCUAAUCUAUUGCUGCUAAUCUAUCGCUGCUAAUCUAUUGCUGCUAAUCUAUCUAUCACUGCUAAUCUAUCGCUGCCAAUCUACCUACCGCUGCCAACCUACCUACCGCUGCCAACCUACCUACCACUGCUAAUCUAUCACUGCUAAUCUAUCGCUGCCAAC